AUGAUGCAAACAGGGGAGUUCUUUGGUCCUGGAUACAAUCAUUUUGGCAAUUCAGGUAUGCCCCCAGCCUCUAACCAGUCAGGAUAUGGGUUUGAACAGCAUGUACAAAUGGGGGGAGGGAGCCUUGGUAAUUUUCAGCAGGCAGGGAUGAAUAGUCAGAGAACUGGUCAGGGGACAGAACAAGGAAAAUUUGGCACUGGUUUCAUAAAUGCAGGUGCUACUAGUAGCAACGCUAAUGGAAAAUUUGAGGCUGGGUUUGUGGGUGCUGGAUUUGGUAACAAUGCUAAAGAAAUUGCUGGGUCUGAUUUUGUUAGUGCUGGAGCUAAUAGCAACGCUUCUACUGAUGCUAGUAGACCUUCUUUCAUUUGCUAUAAAUGUGAAUAG
rnacentral:rRNA from 1 species